rnacentral:rRNA from 1 species
GCAACCCUUGCCCUGUUUUGCCAUCAUUAAGUUGGGAACUAUCAGGGGACCGCCAGCGAUAAGUUGGAGGAAGGUGGGGAUGACGUCAAGUCAUCAUGGCCUUUAUGUCCAGGGCUACACACGUGCUACAAUGGACGGUACAAAGCACUGCGAAGCCGCGAGGUGGAGCUAAUCGCAAAAAACCGUUCUCAGUUCGGAUUGCAGGCUGCAACUCGCCUGCAUGAAGCUGGAAUCGCUAGUAAUGGCAGAUCAGCAUGCUGCCGUGAAUACGUUCCCGGGCCUUGUACACACCGCCCGUCACAUCACGAAAGUGGGUUGUACUAGAAGUCUGUGCGCUAACCAGCAAUGGAGGCCACGGCC